CUCAUGUAUUAAGGCUGUGCAAGGUGACACAGAAUAAGGGGUAGGGUCCCCAAAACCAGUAAAAGAGCCAGAGACAGCCCCUGUUCCCACUGUUAGGAGUCCCCCAAGAGGACCAAGCUAUAUAAAUGUAACAUAUGUGCAGAGGACCUAGGUCAGACCUACACAGGCUCUCUGGUUGUAAGUUCAGUCUCUGGAGACACUGUGAGUCAAGCUUGAUUUUGUGAGUUUUCUUGUGGUAUCCUUAAUCACUCUGGCUCCUACAAUCCUUUCUCCCCAUCUUAUGCAGGAUUCCCCAAACUCUACCUAAUGUAUAGCAGUGGGUCUGGUGACACACAAGCAGACAUGGUGCUGGAGAGAAGCUGAGAGUUCUCCAUCUUGAUCUGCAUGUAGAAGAGACACACAAGGCUUGGCUUGAGUUCCUAAGACUUCAAAUAUCACCCCCAGUGAUAUUCCUCCAACCAUGCCAUAUCUAUUCUAACAAGACCAUACCUCCCAAUGAUUCAUGUUCCUAUGAGUCUAUGGGGUGAUUUUCAUUCAAACUAGCACACUUGUCUUGGACUGAGAAGUUCCUAAGAACUAGAGAAAAGACUAAAUAAGAGUCACAGGCUCUUGCAGCUUACAACCACAAGAUAGAAAGUUCUAGGAGUAACAGGUAUCAAAACAGUAUAUCUGGGGCUUCAAUGUCACCUAAAGCAGUUUCAGUCCUUUGUAACACAUUGCGAAGCUCAAUGCAUUUGAAAAGCCCUCUCACAGCUUCAGCUACAAGACAGCUUUCUGUAAAGCAUACAACCCCUGAAACUUCUGUAUGUCAUGACACCUUCAGCAUACCUUACUAGAAAGCCUGUGAAAAAAAUCCUAUCUGAAGAGUAAAGAGAUCACACAAGAUUUACAAGUUACACCUUCAGGACAACUCACUCUCCUGACUUCCUCUUGGGUCAGGUUUGUGGAUUUUGAUAUAAGAUGGAAUAUUUUACCUCUCUUUCUAACAUCCAGAUGCUGCAUGUCCUUUUUACAAGCCUAUAAGAUAAUGAGCUUCCAUCCAAGAAGGACAGUUUUAACCUCAUAGAAAUGGGAUAGACAAAAUCCCACCUCUUCUUCUGGGCUCUUAACACGCCCCCCAUUCUGCAAUGGUCCCUCUGAUGGAUAAUCUUGGUUGUUAAUUUGACUAUAUCUAAAAUCAACAAAAACACAAAUUGCUGGGCACUCUGUGAUUAUUUGAAAUAGGAAGAUUUACCCUAAGGACAUGGAAGAAGAAAACUACUUUUUGCAUGAUUGCCAUAACUGUCUCUGGAAAUUUUAACUAUUCUGUCAUUACAAACUUCAUUGGGAUUCCAACAUAAAAAGAAAGCUUGUAGAUCUCCAGGUAUACUAUAGGAUUCCAGCACCAAGUUGACUUCUGAGACAUCCAACCUCAUUCAUGUCCUAAACAACUACUGAAUUAUUGGCCUUUCUGUCAAGAAAGAACCAUUGUUAGACAAACCCAAAUAAUAUCCUGCAAGCCACACUAAUAAAUGCCAUUUUUAAUUAUCUCGGUUCUGUUCUUGUAAAGAACCCUACCUAAUAUAGUUCUUCACUCUUGGAGGGUGUUUAAGUCUGUCUAUCGUACUCUAUCAUGCAUUAAUAAACUUUUGUGAAUUUC